rnacentral:rRNA from 1 species
GAUGAACGCUGGCGGCGCGCCUAACACAUGCAAGUCGAACGAUUAAAGCACCUUCGGGUGUGUAUAAAGUGGCGAACGGCUGAGUAACACGUGGGCAACCUGCCCCUUUCAUUGGGAUAGCCACGGGAAACCGUGGAUAAUACCGAAUACUUCGAGACUUCCGCAUGGAAGACUCGAGAAAGCUCCGGCGGAGAGGGAUGGGCCCGCGGCCUGUUAGCUUGUUGGUGGGGUAACGGCCUACCAAGGCAAUGAUGGGUAGCUGGGUUGAGAGACCGACCUGCCAGAUUGGGACUGAGACACGGCCCAGACUCCUACGGGAGGCAGCAGUGGGGAAUCUUGCACAAUGGGCGAAAGCCUGAUGCAGCGACGCCGCGUGCGGGAUGAAGGCCUUCGGGUUGUAAACCGCUUUCAGCAGGGACGAGGCGAAAGUGACGGUACCUGCAGAAGAAGCCCCGGCUAACUACGUG